AUGAAUUUGUCAUUUUAUAUGUGUUUUUAUUAAUUGAUCCUUCAAUCAUAGGUAUGUUCAUAUUGGAGGAUGACCGGUUUGGCAGCAGCUCUACUAGUACAUUUUUCCUUGAUAUCAACGAAGAUACAGAGCCAGCAUUUUAUGACCGAUCUGGACCCAUAAAGGAUAAAAAUUCAUUCCCUUUCUUUGCUUCUAGUAAACUUGUGAAGAAUCGUAUCUUAAAUUCGCUUACUUUGCCUAACAAAAAACAUCGUAGUAGCAGUGAUCCAAAAGGAGGGAAAUUAUCAUCUGAAAGUAAGACAAGCAACAGGCGAAUCAGAACACUUACGGAGCCCAGUGUUGAUUUUAAUCAUAGUGAUGAUUUUACACCCAUAUCCACUGUACAGAAAACAUUACAAUUAGAGACUUCAUUUAUGGGGAAUAAGCACAUUGAAGACACUGGUAGUACACCAAGCAUUGGAGAAAAUGACUUAAAAUUCACCAAGAAUUUUGGUACAGAGAAUCACAGAGAAAAUACAAGCCGAGAGAGGUUAGUAGUAGAAAGUUCAACGAGCUCACAUAUGAAGAUACGUAGCCAAAGUUUUAAUACAGACACUACAACAAGUGGCAUAAGUUCAAUGAGCUCAAGUCCUUCACGAGAGACAGUAGGUGUAGAUGCUACAACUAUGGACACAGACUGUGGAAGCAUGAGUACUGUGGUAAGUACUAAAACUAUUAAGACAAGCCACUAUUUGACGCCACAGUCUAACCAUCUGUCUCUCUCCAAAUCAAAUUCGGUGUCCCUGGUGCCUCCAGGUUCUUCUCAUACGCUUCCUAGAAGAGCACAGUCCCUUAAAGCACCCUCUAUUGCUACAAUUAAAAGUCUAGCAGAUUGUAACUUUAGUUACACAAGUUCUAGAGAUGCUUUUGGCUAUGCUACACUGAAAAGACUACAGCAACAAAGAAUGCAUCCAUCCUUAUCUCACUCUGAAGCUUUGGCAUCUCCAGCAAAAGAUGUGCUAUUUACUGAUACCAUCACCAUGAAGGCCAACAGUUUUGAGUCCAGAUUAACACCAAGCAGGUUCAUGAAAGCCUUAAGUUAUGCAUCAUUAGAUAAAGAAGAUUUAUUGAGUCCUAUUAAUCAAAAUACCCUGCAACGAUCUUCCUCAGUGCGGUCCAUGGUGUCCAGUGCCACAUAUGGGGGUUCAGAUGAUUACAUUGGUCUUGCUCUCCCGGUGGAUAUAAAUGAUAUAUUCCAGGUAAAGGAUAUUCCCUAUUUUCAGACAAAAAACAUACCACCACAUGAUGAUCGAGGUGCAAGAGCAUUUGCCCAUGAUGCAGGAGGUCUUCCAUCUGGAACUGGAGGUCUUGUAAAAAAUUCUUUUCACUUGCUACGACAGCAGAUGAGUCUUACGGAAAUAAUGAAUUCAAUCCAUUCAGAUGCCUCUCUGUUUUUAGAAAGUACAGAAGACACUGGACUACAGGAACAUACAGAUGAUAACUGCCUUUAUUGUGUCUGUAUUGAAAUUCUGGGUUUCCAGCCCAGCAACCAACUGAGUGCAAUAUGUAGUCAUUCAGACUUUCAAGAUAUUCCAUAUUCUGAUUGGUGUGAGCAGACUAUCCAUAAUCCUUUAGAAGUGGUUCCCUCUAAGUUUUCGGGGAUUUCUGGAUGCAGUGAUGGGGUGUCUCAAGAAGGCUCAGCUAGCAGCACCAAAAGCACAGAAUUGUUACUAGGUGUUAAAACAAUUCCAGAUGAUACACCAAUGUGCCGUAUACUCCUUCGCAAAGAAGUUCUAAGAUUAGUCAUUAAUUUGAGUAGUUCAGUUUCAACUAAAUGUCAUGAGACUGGGCUUUUAACAAUUAAGGAGAAGUAUCCUCAAACAUUUGAUGACAUAUGCCUUUACUCUGAGGUUUCCCAUUUGCUGUCACACUGCACAUUCAGACUUCCGUGUCGGAGGUUCAUACAAGAAUUAUUUCAAGAUGUACAGUUUCUACAAAUGCAUGAAGAAGCAGAGGCUGUGUUGGCAACACCACCAAAGCAACCUAUAGUUGAUACAUCUGCUGAAUCCUGACCUCAUAUUUAUGAUGGAUAUAGAUACAUACUAUAUAUAUUCAUAUUUGUGGAUUUCCUAAAAGCCUCAGAAAAUACGACUGACUAGGCAGCAAAGACAGGAGUAUCUUCUGCACACUGUUCCGCAGUUACUGGUACAUGAACAGUUGGAACUGCUGACUUUCCUAACCAAAACAACUUCCUUCUCUCCUUUGUUGAGCCUUUUGAGGGGUUCAUGAUUCAUUACCACAGUUUUAAGAGUUUUAGUUACCAUUGUAUGCAAGAGCCAAGCACUGAAUACCUACAUAGGUUUUCUAUUUUCUUUCAUUUUAAAAGCAUAAUGACAGUGGAACAAUAAUGGGAUAUGCAGAAGCACCCUUCACAAGUUAUUUCUGAAUGAUUUUUAGGGUAAAUUUACAGAUGCCUUGUUUGUUAACUAAUUUGUGGAAAGCAGGAAUCAGUGUCUCUAAGGCUGCAUCCUGUUACCACAAUGGGGUGUGCUAUAACUGCUGGUAUUAGAGAGGGAACUUUGGCCCUUUCAUGUUUUUCUUAAUGUUUGUAACACUACUUCAGAGGUUUAUAACCUCAAAGCAGAAGAAGAGCCUCAACAACCCGGGACUUAUAAGUUAUUUUUAUGUUACUAGACUUGCAUAAAGAUUCUUGUUUUCCAACUCUUCAUUUUGUUGCAAUGUGUUAUUACAGGAUAUAUGAACCAAUUAAGGUUUUUCACUACAGUUCUUGAAUAAAAUUUAAAAAUCAUUUUUUAUUUUAAUUAAAAAUAUUUCCCAUUUAUAGAAUGCAUAUAUUUGCAAUGGACUUCCACUUUCAUCAACUUUCCAUCUCAUCGCUUUAAACAGGAACUUGAACAAGCACUGUUAGUUUAGACCUAAAGGAUAGGAAAGCAUUAAAUAAUACUUUGGAUCUCCUGAGGAAAAGAUAAGUUUGCUUGCAAUUUACACAUUCCAUGGGGAAAGAAGAGCCAUAUUUCCUUUAAAAAAAAACAUUAAUAAAGCUUGUUAUUAAGAAAAAUUGUAGUGAAAAGCCUUAAGUACCAAAUUUUAAAGCAGCAGUAACUUAAUUUUUAUAUCAGUGUUUUUGUUUUGCACAAACUAAAUGCAGUGGUAGGUGGGUUUAUGAGUAUAUUAAUUGCCUUUAUCCAUUUGUGAAGUUAAGUUGAUGAGGGCAAGGUUUUUGUUUGUUUAAUUUGUAUGUGUCUAAAGGUAUUUGGAACUUUUUACAGGAAUUAAACAUAUAUGCAAAUUUGUAUAUAAAAAUAGCAUGGCCAUCAUUUGAAUGCUUGUAAAUGAAAGGAUUAUCUUUUUUGAGAUCUACAUAUAAAUAGAAAUAGAAAAUCCAGCUGGACUGAUUAGGAUUCUUUUUUAAUUCAUUUGUGUAUAACAUUUUUAUUACAAUUACACAUCAGUUUUGACACAGUCAUAGCAACAUUAAUAUUUUCCCAUGAUGCAGAUCCUUUUUGUAAUGGGCUUGUUCUUUGAGAUCUCUGUAAAGAACCCUGUGAACUAGAAAACAUAACUCACAGAGAUACUUUUUUAAAAAAUUUAUUUACUGGCACUGAAAGUUCCAGUUGGGAUGAAGCAUUUCAUCUCACUUCAUAACACCUCUUUGACUGCACUUCAGUGAAUUGUUCUUAUGUGCACUGUGUAGCAACUUACAUUAUAACAAAGCAGAUAAGGGCUGUAAGCUGCUGCUUAUGUUGAAAAGUGGUUCUUCAGAUUUUCUCUCAUAAAAUCCAAUUGAAGAUAAAUAAUUUUUUUAUACUUUAUCACUGAACCCAAGUGUUUAUUUAAAUGUCAACAGUACUUCUAAGAACGUUGCCUGUCAUCGUGGUCUUUGGUCUUGGAUAACUAAACUGCCUUUCCAGAGAACCAAAUGUCAGAGUUACUAGACCAAAUAGUGGUUAAAACCUCCAAAGGAAGUAAUGUAGUAAUCUUAUUCAUAAUGGGUUUUAGACAUUCAUUUUAAACACUACCUCAGUUAAUAUAGAGUAUAAAAUCUGUGGUUUAAUCCCUCAAAAGUUAACAGUAAUUUUUUUUUGUCUUACACACACACACACACACACACACACCUCCUCCCCCACCAUCACUAUCCCUGUACCCUCACCUUGGUCAUCUAUCCUGAAAUAAGGCUUAGUUAGUGUUGGCCUGAAUGUUUCGUGUUUUUUUUUUUUUUACUGUUACUUUGAAAAAUAUGUAUGUAUACCUUAU
rnacentral:lncRNA from 1 species